AUAAAGCUCAAAAAACUCUUUGAAAACCUCACUGGAAUUGCGGAAAAAGAUGAAGAAACGAGGGAGAAAUCAUAGGUAGAAGGUUUUAAAGAUUUUUGGGUUUCUAUAUAAAUUAAGGUUAUGUGUAGCAUAAUAAAAUACAGCUAAGACCUAACGACGAGCUUGCCAAUUAGGUACAAGUGGGGUGUUUAAUCGUCGUGAGCAUGACGGAUGUGUGUGAUCGGCGGGGAUAGAAAUUGAGAAUCAUACUCAUUUCCUUGGAUAUUUAAAAUACUUGAGUACAAUGGAUGAUAAGUUGUCUCAAGGAGAAAUGAUGAACAUUCGGUUCUUUCUCUAGAUAAUUAAACGUUCCCCUAAGUUAUGUCAUAGGGUGAUAUGUUUUGUCGUAUGAUUUAUUGAAUAUAUAUGAUAAAACUAUUUGUUUUUUUUAAGUGAUGAACAUGUAUCUGCAACACGAACUCGGUAGGCUCUAGGCUUACCCAUUUAGAAACUUUAAAUGUACGCAACCCAGGAAACGAUUUAGCAAGUGGCUAAGAAAAAUCCAAGGAGAAGGAUUGAUCCAGAAGACGACAAAGGAAUUUGGCAAAUAUGUAACACCCGAAGUUGUACAAUUGAAAACUUUAUUUUAUUUCAUU